rnacentral:rRNA from 1 species
AGCGAACGCUGGCGGCAGGCCUAACACAUGCAAGUCGAACGGAUCCUUCGGGAUUAGUGGCGGACGGGUGAGUAACACGUGGGAACGUGCCUUUAGGUUCGGAACAACUCAGGGAAACUUGAGCUAAUACCGGAUGUGCCCUUAGGGGGAAAGAUUUAUCGCCUUUAGAGCGGCCCGCGUCUGAUUAGCUAGUUGGUGAGGUAAAGGCUCACCAAGGCGACGAUCAGUAGCUGGUCUGAGAGGAUGACCAGCCACAUUGGGACUGAGACACGGCCCAAACUCCUACGGGAGGCAGCAGUGGCGAAUCUUGCGCAAUGGGCGAAAGCCUGACGCAGCCAUGCCGCGUGUAUGAUGAAGGUCUUAGGAUUGUAAAAUACUUUCACCGGUGAAGAUAAUGACUGUAGCCGGAGAAGAAGCCCCGGCUAACUUCGUGCCAGCAGCCGCGGUAA